GACGAACGCUGGCGGCGUGCUUAACACAUGCAAGUCGAACGGAAAGGCCCUGCUUUUGUGGGGUGCUCGAGUGGCGAACGGGUGAGUAACACGUGAGUAACCUGCCCUUGACUUUGGGAUAACUUCAGGAAACUGGGGCUAAUACCGGAUAGGAGCUCCUGCUGCAUGGUGGGGGUUGGAAAGUUUCGGUGGUUGGGGAUGGACUCGCGGCUUAUCAGCUUGUUGGUGGGGUAGUGGCUUACCAAGGCUAAGACGGGUAGCCGGCCUGGGAGGGUGACCGGCCACAUUGGGACUGAGGUACGGCCCAGACUCCUACGGGAGGCAGCAGUGGGGAAUAUUGCACAAUGGGCGGAAGCCUGAUGCAGCAACGCCGCGUGCGGGAUGACGGCCUUCGGGUUGUAAACCGCUUUCGCCUGUGACGAAGCGUGAGUGACGGUAAUGGGUAAAGAAGCACCGGCUAACUACGUG
rnacentral:rRNA from 1 species